GCACUAAUGGGGUAGUGGUAACCUGGGUCGUUGCCAUCGUCUUGCGAUUGAUGAGAUUUGUCGACCCGCCGGGGGUUCGAUUCCCCCUUAGUGCA